GAUGAACGCUGGCGGCGUGCCUAAUACAUGCAAGUCGAGCGAACGGACGAGGAGCUUGCUGUGCGGAUGUUAGCGGCGGACGGGUGAGUAACGCGUGGAUAACCUACCUAUAAGACGGGGAUAACUUCGGGAAACCGGAGCUAAUAGCGGAGAAUAUUUUGCACCGUAGGGGGCAAAAGUGAAAGACGGUCGUGGUGGAACGUAUAGAGGGAUCCCCGCUGCAUUAGCUGGUUGGUAAGGUAACGGCUUACCAAGGCAAGGAUGCGUAGCCGACGGGUCAGGCGGAUCGCCCGCAUUGGAAGUGAGCCGCCGUCCAUGCUCCUACGAGAGGCAGCAGUAGGCUAUCUUCCGCAAUGGGGGGGAGCCUGGCGCAGCGGGGCCGCGUGAGUUGUGACAAUCCUCCGAUCGUGAAACUCUGUUAUUAGUUAAGAACAUAUGUGUACGUAACUGUGGCCAUCUUGACGGUAACUGGUAAGGAAGCCCCGGCUAACUACGUG
rnacentral:rRNA from 1 species